rnacentral:lncRNA from 1 species
GUUUCAUAUCACUUUGGGAAAUAUAUGUAUUGUUUUUACAUAUUGCACACGCAAUAAUUACAUUUUAGCACCUAAAGUGACUAAUCCAUAUUUGAUAAUUUACAAAUAAAGCAAACAGUACACUAAUAUAUUAGGCCAUAAGACAACAAAAAUACAAAUAGCAAAAAUCCUGAUCCUGAAGCAUGAGCAGCAAUUAGAAGUGGAAAAAUGAAAAGAAACCUUGUUGAUUAACUUUUCAUGUUCUUCUGCAUAUUUGGCAAACUUAAUUGCAUGUUUAGAAAUAAUCUCCUUCACUGGUGAAAUCUGCAUUAUCAUCAUCAUGCAUUACUACUUUACUUGAAAUGAAUGAAAUGAAAUUAUGAAAAAGAAUGUUUGAUACUAUUACCUUGGAUUCUUCAACCUGCACAUAUGCUUUUGCAACAGAACUGAAGUGGUAAUCAUGAUAUACAUUUUUUUUUUUGUAGUGCUUACAUAUACAUUAAUCAAAGUUUAAAAACAGUGGUAAUCAUGACUCUUCCUCUGACUAACAGUGCAUUAACGAAGUUGGCAAAAUUGAUUAUACCUGAGGUGUAGAUCUUCACCAGUAGAGAAAGUAAAAGGUGUCUCAAUGAAAAGUGUCUUAACAAGCUUUCCCAUAUAUAUAUUCUAACUCAAAGGCCUUCAAUGUUGGAAGUACAUCAAAUGCUGGAAGUGGUUCUUAACAUAAUGCCUGGCUAUAUAUAUAAAUUGAGUCAACCACUGAAAUUUAAUAUAUAGGAAGAUACAAUGCAUGCUUGUAGUUUUUCAUUUUCCUCAAUACAGGGCAGUUAAUAACAAGGAAUCUGAAUCGGGGUACAUAUUCAUGCAACUGUAACUAUGUAACUAGUUUCAACUGACAACCUACAACAAUGAUAAAAUUUGGAAAGUAUGUAAACAAUGCAUAAAUCCAUUGUAUAGGAUAAACAAAUCAUGUACAAUAAUUAGGAUACAUGCGGUCUUUGUGUUCAUUACAGUUUAUUCUAUUUGGUUAAGCUUCACUUCGUAAUCUAAACUGAUGUUUCUUUAAAUUCUUCCCUCAAUAUAUAUUUAAAGCCUAAUGAGAUAGAACCCUGGAUCCGUGCUAAUCCAAUGGACUUAUUUCCAAUCUAUUAAGGGGAUGUUUCAGUAAACAUCUUAAUUAAGCAUUUAUCAUGUGUUUAUGGCAAGUAGAACACUUCAAAUGGCAGCAAAAUGAUUAACAUACUUCUACAUGUCAACUAUAUAAUAAGGAAACAAUUGAUAGUUUUUCAAUAUCUCCUACUAGCACUGCAUAAAUGCAGUGCAAGACAGAGCAUAACAAAAACACAGUCUUACUAAUAUUCAAGGGUAUCAAAUCAUCAGUUAUACUAAUGUUUAUGAAAUUAUGACAAAUAUAAAAUGAAUGUCGCGAUAUCAGAUAAGAGGAAACUUCUGACAAUUCAAUUCUCCAAAUAGUUAAAAGAGCAGCAUAGCAAGAUGCAAGCCAGAUGACAUAACAUUUAUCCUCAUCUUUGACAUUAAAAAUACCUUGUCGUCAGCAGCAAGUAUUACUAGUUGGCCAUCUUCUGCCGCUUCUUGCUACCCGAAACAGGAGCUUCAAGGAAGUCACUGCCCUUUGCUUUGAUUGCCUGUAGAAAGAAUGCCCUUUGAAUUGCAAUUUAUAAAGUUAUGUACCUAUCCACAAUCAUCAUCAAAUUUUUGUACUUCACUUUAUACACAAAGUUAUGUACCUAGCUAAUUCAGCUUCACUAGAACUAAAUUCAGCUUUCUUUUCUUUUAUAGUCAUAACUCAUAUAUAAGAACUUUGAAAUACCUAAUUCUUCAUACUCAAUCAAUACAUACAACAAACCAAUAAAUAAAUUUCGUAAACCUAGUUCUUCAUCCUCAAUAACAAACGAAUAGAUAAAUUUCAUAUACCUAAUAACCAAUUCAUAAAACCAAAUGAUGAAAAAAAUUGGAGACAAUAAAUAAAAAAAUUAACAAUAAUGAAAUGAGAAACUGAACCUGAAGGUGAUUUUGAAGGUUGAAUGAAGGUCAAUUGAAGCUGAAGGAAGAAUCUGAGGAGAAUUUGAAGCUUACAUUGAACAACCGAGUUUGAAUCUGAAGCUUAGGUUGAAGAACGAAGAACGACCAUGACUGAAUAAGAACGAAGAUAGCUUAGGGUGAAAACGAAUAUUGAAUCUGAACGAAGAUUGAAGCUUAGGUUGAACGAACGAACAAACAAAGAUUGAACGACGUUACUGAAUCAUCUUUUUCGUUACUCAUCUGAAUCUGAAAUUGAGUGAAAUGAAAUGAAAACUUGUGAA